rnacentral:rRNA from 1 species
UGGGGAAUCUUCCGCAAUGGACGAAAGUCUGACGGAGCAACGCCGCGUGGGUGAAGAAGGUUUUCGGAUCGUAAAACUCUGUUUUCAGGGACGAAUGUGCAAUAUGUGAAUAAUGUGUUGUAAUGACGGUACCUGACAAGAAAGCCACGGCUAACUACGUGCCAGCAGCCGCGGUAAUACGUAGGUGGCAAGCGUUGUCCGGAAUUAUUGGGCGUAAAGCGCGCGCAGGUGGGAUAAUAAGUCUGAUGUUAAAGUUCGGGGCUCAACCCCGUGAAGCAUUGGAAACUAUUAUUCUUGAGUGCAGGAGAGGAAAGUGGAAUUCCUAGUGUAGCGGUGAAAUGCGUAGAUAUUAGGAGGAACACCAGUGGCGAAGGCGACUUUCUGGACUGUGUCUGACACUGAGGCGCGAAAGCCAGGGUAGUGAACG